UACAGAGGUCUCAAGCGUUGUUCGGAUUCAUUGGGCGUAAAGGGUGCGUAGGCGGCGCGGUAAGUCGGAUGUGAAAUCUCGGAGCUUAACUUCGAAACUGCAUUCGAUACUGCCGUGCUUGAGGACUGGAGAGGAGACUGGAAUUUACGGUGUAGCGGUGAAAUGCGUAGAUAUCGUAAGGAAGACCAGUGGCGAAGGCGGGUCUCUGGACAGUUCCUGACGCUGAGGCACGAAGGUCAGGGGGAGCAAACGGG
rnacentral:rRNA from 1 species